rnacentral:rRNA from 1 species
GUGGGGAAUCUUAGACAAUGGGCGCAAGCCUGAUCUAGCCAUGCCGCGUGAGCGAUGAAGGCCUUAGGGUUGUAAAGCUCUUUCAGUGGGGAAGAUAAUGACUGUACCCACAGAAGAAGCCCCGGCUAACUCCGUGCCAGCAGCCGCGGUAAUACGGAGGGGGCUAGCGUUGUUCGGAAUUACUGGGCGUAAAGCGCACGUAGGCGGACUGGAAAGUCAGGGGUGAAAUCCCGGGGCUCAACCCCGGAACUGCCUUUGAAACUCCCAGUCUUGAGGUCGAGAGAGGUGAGUGGAAUUCCGAGUGUAGAGGUGAAAGUCGUAGAUAUUCGGAGGAACACCAGUGGCGAAGGCGGCUCACUGGCUCGAUACUGACGCUGAGGUGCGAAAGCGUGGGGAGCAAACAGGAUUAGAUACCCUAGUAGUCC